AUGUCAGAUAGUUUUAUGCUUCCAAGUGAUCAAUCCUCAACUAACAUGUCUUUUUUCGUCCAGUUCGUUAUUUGUCUUCUCUCAAUUGUUGAUGACACAGAACUUUAUACUGAGGUUGUAGAUGAGCUGACAAAGCAGUUAAAGGAACUCAUAUUUGACAAGAACGGGAGACGCCCAUUGCUGCAGCUAUUUCACCCACUUUGCUCACGUUAUCUGACUCCGUCUGAUUUGGUUUUUCUGAAUUACAACGUGCCUUCCCUUGUUUCAAAGGUUAACUUGGAUAGUAAGUUGGAUGAUGUAGCUGAUAAAGAACAUGGGGGUUCAGAAGACACACUGGUUGCAUCUGAUAGCAAGGACCUGAUUAAACGGCAGCAAGAACUGUUGGUGAAAAGCGAGCUUUAUGAGGUUCUCAUUGAGACUUGCAUUGAAAAUGUUGGAGAGUUACUUAGAACAAACUUUGGGAAAGAUGUACUAUAUGAGGUUGCUGUAGGUGGAAAAAAUAACUUCUUGGAGGGGGUCACUGACAGGAUCCACGUACUUCACAAUGCUAUAGCUUGUGACGCAGCGCGCCCGAGGACAGAUUAUAUUGAUGAGCACCCCUUUGAUAACUACCACUCCAGCCCCAUAAUCAGAAGAAUGAUACUUGAUUGCCCUGCAUUUGCUGCUACCCUCUGGAAAAAAGCCCUCCAAGGGAAAUGCAAGUUAUAUGCAGAUGGAUUCAGCUCUAGGGUGGUGGCUGCCUAUCUGGAAUCUCCAGGUUCCAGGGUGAAGGAUCUUGCGAAAUCCGAGUUGCAACCGCUCAUCGACGGUGGCAUACUGAAGCCUCAGGAACAUAAAGCAGAGGAGGAGAAGUCUGCCAUGGAGUGUAGUUCCGACGAGUGGUCAGAGCCAAAGGAUACGGAUAUUGGCGACUAUGCUAAAAAAGCAUACAUGGAUAUGAAGUCUGGCAAGCUUGUGGUGAGGUUUGGCACCGACAGGUUUACAUGCCCGUUCUGCCCCCAGAAGAAGCAGGAAUACCGUUACAGUGGUCUGCUUGCUCACGCCAUUAGCCAAUCAUCCUACCAUGCUGCAAAGGUGAAGGCAAACCACCAGGCCCUGGUUAAUCAUCUCGAGAUGGACCAUGCCGAUGCAGCAACCUCAUCCUCAAUGCAUGUACGACACAAACUGAUGUUGAUCUAA
rnacentral:rRNA from 1 species